rnacentral:tRNA from 2 species
UGGAAUAUAGCUCAGUUGGUAGAGCGCCUGACUGUUAAUCAGGAUGUCGCAGGUUCGAGCCCUGCUAUUCCAG